rnacentral:misc_RNA from 1 species
UCUCCGUUGGUGAACCAGCGGAGGGAUCAUUACCGAGUUUACCAAACUCCCAAACCCAAUGUGAACCUUACCACUACGUUGCUUCGGCGGGACCGCCCCGGGAGCCCAGCGCUGCCCGGAACCAGGCGCCCGCCGGGGGCCACUGAAACUCCUGUGUUUUUAUAGGCAUUUCCUCUGAGUACAAACCGCCUAGCGGCGUAGAGAAAAUGAAUCAAAACUUUCAACAACGGAUCCCUUGGUUCUG